CUCCUUUGACGUUAGCGGCGGACGGGUGAGUAACACGUGGAUAACCUACCUAUAAGACUGGGAUAACUUCGGGAAACCGGAGCUAAUACCGGAUAACAUAUUGAACCGCAUGGUUCAAUAGUGAAAGGCGGCUUUGCUGUCACUUAUAGAUGGAUCCGCCCCGUAUUAGCUAGUUGGUAAGGUAACGGCUUACCAAGGCAACGAUACGUAGCCGACCUGAGAGGGUGUUCGGCCACACUGGAACUGAGACACGGUCCAGACUCCUACGGGAGGCAGCAGUAGGGAAUCUUCCUCAAUGGGCGAAAUCCUGACGGAGCAACGCCGCGUGAGUGAUGAAGGUCUUCGGUUCGUAAAACUCUGUUAUCAGGGAAGAACAAAUGUGUAAGUAACUGUGCACAUCUUGACGGUACCUGAUCAGAAAGCCACGGCUAACUACGUGCCAGCAGCCGCGGUAAUACGUAGGUGGCAAGCGUUAUCCGGAAUUAUUGGGCGUAAAGCGCGCGCAGGCGGUUUUUUAAGUCUGAUGUGAAAGCCCACGGCUCAACCGUGGAGGGUCAUUGGAAACUGGAAAACUUGAGUGCAGAAGAGGAAAGUGGAAUUCCAUGUGUAGCGGUGAAAUGCGCAGAGAUAUGGAGGAACACCAGUGGCGAAGGCGACUUUCUGGUCUGUAACUGACGC
rnacentral:rRNA from 1 species